rnacentral:rRNA from 1 species
UGCAAGUCGAACGGUAACAGCGGAUGCUUGCAUCCGGCUGACGAGUGGCGGACGGGUGAGUAACACGUAGGAAUCUACCCAGUAGAGGGGGAUAGCCCGGGGAAACCCGGAUUAAUACCGCAUAUACCCUAAGGGGAAAAGGUGGCCAAUUCUUGAAAGCUGCCACUACUGGAUGAGCCUGCGCCAGAUUAGCUUGUUGGUGGGGUAAUGGCCUACCAAGGCAAUGAUCUGUAGCUGGUCUGAGAGGACGAUCAGCCACACUGGGACUGAGAUACGGCCCAGACUCCUGCGGGAGGCAGCAGUAGGGAAUAUUGCGCAAUGGGCGAAAGCCUGACGCAGCCAUGCCGCGUGUGUGAAGAAGGCCCCAGGGUUGUAAAGCACUUUCAGAAACGAGGAAAAUCGUUCGGUUAAUAGCCGGACUGAUUUGACGUUAGUUUUAGAAGAAGCACCGGCUAACUCCGUGCCAGCAGCCGCGGUAAUACGGAGGGUGCAAACGUUAAUCGGAAUCACUGGGCGUAAAGAGCUCGUAGGUGGUUUGUCAAGUGGGAUGUGAAAGCCUUGGGCUCAACCCGAGAACUGCAUUCCAAACUGGUGAACUAGAGUACGGGAGAGGGAGGUGGAAUUUCACGUGUAGCGGUGGAAUGCGUAGAGACGUGAAGGAACGCCAAUGGCGAAGGCAGCCUCCUGGACCGAUACUGACACUGAGGAGCGAAAGCGUGGGUAGCAAACAGGCUUAGAUACCCUGGUAGUCCACGCCGUAAACGAUGAG